rnacentral:rRNA from 1 species
AUGUCGGCGUCGUCGGACCCCUCGCCGUCCUCCUCCUCGGCCGCGGCGGCGGCGUCGGCGUCCCCGCUCGCCGCCUACCACGCGCACCCGCACCACCCCCACCCCCACCACCUGCACCUCUCCACGCCGCCGCACGCGUACCCGCCCGCGGCGCCGCCCCCUUCCCCGGCGUCCGCGCCCAGGGACUACCGCAAGGGCAACUGGACGCUGCACGAGACGCUCAUCCUCAUCACCGCCAAGCGCCUCGACGACGACCGCCGGGCGGGCGGGGGCGCGGGCGGCGUGGCCAUGGCGGGCCCGUCCUCGCCGCCCACGCCGCGCUCGGCCGAGCAGCGGUGGAAGUGGGUCGAGAACUACUGCUGGAUCAACGGCUGCCUCCGCAGCCAGAACCAGUGCAACGACAAGUGGGACAACCUCCUCCGCGACUACAAGAAGGUCCGCGACUACGAGACCCGCCGUGCCUCCAUCGCCGCCGCCCCUCCCGUCGACGCCGCCCCGUCAGCGCAGCCGCAGCCGCAGACGCCGCUCCCGUCCUACUGGACCAUGGAGCGGCACGACCGCAAGGAGCGCAACCUGCCAACCAACCUCGCCCCGGAGGUCUACGACGCGCUGCUCGACGUUCUCUCCCGUCGCGCGGCACGCCGGGGCGGCGCCGCGAUCGCGCCCGCGGCUCCAGCCCCGCUCGCCCUGCCGCCUCCACCCCCUCCCCCACCACCGCCACCCUCGCCGCCGAAGCCUCUCCUCAAUCAGCAGCAGCAGCAGCAACAGCAGAAGCAGCACCGUCUUCACCCUCAGCCUCCGCCACUUCUCCAGCUCCCGGCGCCCGUGGCACAGCCGUCGGUGCCGUCGGCGACGUCCGUUUCCGCCGAGGAGGAGAUGACGGGGUCGUCGGAGUCCGGGUCGGACGGCCUGGACCUGGGCGGGAUGUCGGGAGGCGUCGGCGGGAACGGCGACGAGCCGGAGGCGAAGCGGCGGCGGCGGGCGGAGCGGCUGGGGUCGAGCGUGGUGCGGAGCGCGACGGUGCUGGCGCGCACGCUGGUGGCGUGCGAGGACCGGCGGGAGCGGCGGCACCGGGAGGUGCUGGAGCUGGAGGAGCGCCGGCUGCGGCUGGAGGCGGAGCGCAACGAGGUCAGACGGCAGGGCUUCGCGGGCCUCGUGGCCGCCGUCAACGGCCUCUCCGGCGCCAUCCACGCCCUCGUCUCCGACCACCACGGCCGCAGCGGCGACUCCUCCAGGUGA